CGCAGCCCGCCUAAGUUUUUCUUUCAAAGUCUCAGCCUGCAGUAGAGUAAAAGCCUAUGAAGAAUUAACAUAUAAAUUGUGAAAUGUAACAAAUUUGACAGUUAUAGUGUGUAUUAUACUUGACCAAUAGUGCCCGAGGCAUGCAGCAGCGAAUGUCCAUCAACUGAAAUCCUACGAUUACUGCCAUGCCAGACCACCAGUAUGCACAAUCAAAAGAAAAUAUACACCAUUCUGAACGGAAUAAGUUGAGGUCAGUGUACCGCAAAAUCUCGAUGCUUCUUGCUUGCAGCAGCUUCUUUUGCUUUUCCUCCUGGGAAAACUCAGGCUGUCAUUGAUAUAGACACUAGGACCAACUAUCAACAAAACAGAUACUAGGUUGAGGAGGUGUACCUCCAAUUUCUGCAGCUUUUUUAGCUGUAUCUUCAGGUCUUGUCUGCUUUUCUUACUAUUCUAGCAAUCAAGAGGUUAUGUAAGUCACAAAAUCACACUGCUGACCGCACUAGUAAUAGCAGAUCCAAAUGAAACUCGAUUAAUGGAUUCCAAAUUAAGCUGGCGGUACCUUGGCUUCGCC
rnacentral:lncRNA from 1 species